UCAAUGAGACUGGCGACGAGCCC
rnacentral:piRNA from 1 species